rnacentral:rRNA from 1 species
AGCAGCCGCGGUAAUUCCAGCUCCAAUAGCGUAUAUUAAAGUUGCUGCAGUUAAAAAGCUCGUAGUUGAAUUUCGGGACUAAUAUGUCGGUCGUGCCUCGGUACGUACUGGUUUAUUGGUUUCUCCUUUCUGAAGAACCAUGAUGUCAUUUAUUUGGUGUCGUGGGGAAUCAGGACUGUUACUUUGAAAAAAUUAGAGUGUUUAAAGCAGGCUCACGCUUGAAUACAUUAGCAUGGAAUAAUGAAAUAGGACGUUUGAUUCUAUUUUGUUGGUUUCUAGGAUCGACGUAAUGAUUAAUAGGGAUAGUUGGGGGCAUUAGUAUUCAAUUGUCAGAGGUGAAAUUCUUGGAUUUAUUGAAGACUAACUACUGCGAAAGCAUUUGCCAAGGAUGUUUUCAUUAAUCAAGAACGAAAGUUAGGGGAUCGAAGACGAUCAGAUACCGUCGUAGUCUUAACCAUAAACUAUGCCGACUAGGGGUCGGAUGAUGUUAAUUUUUUAAUGACUCAUUCGGCGCCUUACG